UCAACAAUUGUCUAAACUUUCCAAUUAUCAUUGGAAACUUAAGAUGCAGAAGAUCCCGACUGCAGCUACAAUCAACAAAGAUCCAGCAGCAGAAACAGAGAUCAACACUACUAUCAGAGAAACUGAAGGAACUGAAGUAGAAUAAAAGAGAGACCGUGAUCAAUGAGAGAGUCACAUGACCCACAUUCACCACUGAACACACCAAUGAACAAUUCUGCUGUGAUG